rnacentral:rRNA from 1 species
CAGUCGCCGCGGUAAUACGAAGGGGGCUAGCGUUGUUCGGAUUUACUGGGCGUAAAGCGCACGUAGGCGGAUCGAUCAGUCAGGGGUGAAAUCCCAGAGCUCAACUCUGGAACUGCCUUUGAUACUGUCGAUCUGGAGUAUGGAAGAGGUGAGUGGAAUUCCGAGUGUAGAGGUGAAAUUCGUAGAUAUUCGGAGGAACACCAGUGGCGAAGGCGGCUCACUGGUCCAUUACUGACGCUGAGGUGCGAAAGCGUGGGGAGCAAACAGGAUUAGAUACCCGCGUAGUCCCUGUCUCUUAUAC